rnacentral:rRNA from 2 species
GCCGUGGCGGGAUGCCUAUACAUGCAGUCGAACGAACUCUGGUAUUGAUUGGUGCUUGCAUCAUGAUUUACAUUUGAGUGAGUGGCGAACUGGUGAGUAACACGUGGGAAACCUGCCCAGAAGCGGGGGAUAACACCUGGAAACAGAUGCUAAUACCGCAUAACAACUUGGACCGCAUGGUCCGAGUUUGAAAGAUGGCUUCGGCUAUCACUUUUGGAUGGUCCCGCGGCGUAUUAGCUAGAUGGUGAGGUAACGGCUCACCAUGGCAAUGAUACGUAGCCGACCUGAGAGGGUAAUCGGCCACAUUGGGACUGAGACACGGCCCAAACUCCUACGGGAGGCAGCAGUAGGGAAUCUUCCACAAUGGACGAAAGUCUGAUGGAGCAACGCCGCGUGAGUGAAGAAGGGUUUCGGCUCGUAAAACUCUGUUGUUAAAGAAGAACAUAUCUGAGAGUAACUGUUCAGGUAUUGACGGUAUUUAACCAGAAAGCCACGGCUAACUACGUGCCAGCAGCCGCGGUAAUACGUAGGUGGCAAGCGUUGUCCGGAUUUAUUGGGCGUAAAGCGAGCGCAGGCGGUUUUUUAAGUCUGAUGUGAAAGCCUUCGGCUCAACCGAAGAAGUGCAUCGGAAACUGGGAAACUUGAGUGCAGAAGAGGACAGUGGAACUCCAUGUGUAGCGGUGAAAUGCGUAGAUAUAUGGAAGAACACCAGUGGCGAAGGCGGCUGUCUGGUCUGUAACUGACGCUGAGGCUCGAAAGUAUGGGUAGCAAACAGGAUUAGAUACCCUGGUAGUCCAUACCGUAAACGAUGAAUGCUAAGUGUUGGGAGGGUUUCCGCCCCUUCAGUGCUGCAGCUAACGCAUUAAGCAUUUCCGCCCUGGGGGAGUACGGCCGCCAGGGCUGAAAACUCCAAAGGGAAUUGACCGGGGGCCCCCCCCAAGCGGUGGGAGCAUGGGGGUUUAAUUCGAAAGCUACCCCCAAAAACCCUUUACCAAUU